UAAAUCUUAAUAAUCAUUACUCCUCCAAUCUCUUAUUAUAAUAUAAAAUACACCCUACAUGUCAACAUGUUGAAAUUUAAUUUCUAAAUUGCAACUUUUCGAGGAAGAGGCAGAGCCAUGGAGAUAAGAUAUGCAAAAAUGUUAUGAUACGAACUUAUGACCGUAUAUAAAAUCUCACAUACGGACAAAUAUAAUUUGCUGACAAGCGGAUUCAACUAACCACCUUUGAACUAAUAUGACUCCACCACUGGUUGCAAAUCAGUCAGAAGUUUCCACAACAAUGGAAAAAGAAAGAAUUUAAGGAUGGUCUACGAGCUACAACAAUUUCUUUUGUAAAAUUCAGAGUUUGCUCCACCUAUAUCUUUGAUUCUCAAAGGGGCUAUAUACACAUAAAUAACCUAUAUAUAUAUAUUAAAGAGAAUAAUAUACACAAAAGAAACUAUUUAUAACUCAAAAUUCAAAUUUGAACUAUUUGUGAUUUGUUUAUUAAACUAUAAAGAAAAUAACAAGUGACAAAUAAGAGUGAAGUACUUGUUAGAUGUGUUAAAAGAGGGACAUCAAUUCCUGUCUACCCCUAAAAGUGGUUAAGAAGUUUUGGGACCAAAUGGUAGCAGUCGCACAAAAAGAAGUUGAAAACAAGAUUACAAGGACUACAAAUUUGUUGUGUGGCUGGCACGAGGUGACACUUUAUGGCAGGGAGAUUCCAAUUAAUGUCAUAAAGAGAAUUGUUACAUGUAAUUUAGCCGUCUAUAACAUUUUAUUACUUCAUCUAGUCAAUAAUAUUUGUCCAUUAUUAACUUUGUACAUUUUUUAAGUAACUAUAAAUAAAAGGGUAAUUUUACUAUAUCACAUUUUGGAUAUAAUAAAUAUAAUAUCUUGAAUAAUGUAAUAGACAGAUGACUAUAAUCAAUAAUAACGAUAAAUUAGGAACUAAGUGUAAAAUUAUCCAUUGAUUUCAUAAAGUAGACAAGUAUUGUUGAACAUCCCAAAAUAAUAUACUGGACAAUUAUUUGGACGGAGAGAGUAUAAAACUUGAUCUCAUCUCUCUUCUUUUAAAAGUUUAGUAGUAUUAUUGUUGGCAUGAAAGGAGUUCAUCUUGAAUUGUCAGUACCGUGAUUGGAGGCGCCUUCCUUACCUGUUCUAAUGACAUAGGGGAUGAGUUUUUUCUUAAGUGAUUAACCGAUAAUCUGAUAGUAAAUUGAUAAAUAUAUUAUACCUUUUUAUAUAAAAAGUUUUUCACUUAAGAUUUUGUUUCAUACUGUUACUUCUCAGUGUCUCAAACUCUUAGUUAUUCUAUUAGAUGUCAAUGUUUGCUUCUAAGCAAGAUGCAAAAUGUCAACUCGUGUUCAUAGUUACAUCAUUAAUUGGUUUGUCACUUUGUUUUUAAGUGAUUUUCACUGAAUUAAAAAUUCGUGUAAAAUCUAAACGUUUAAAUGGAUAAGGAUCAAUUCUAUAACGAUCUAACAUGUCUAUAAAUUGAUAACCAAUAAAACAUACAGAUAAACCUCAAAAUCAAACCCUAAUGUGUUGAUUAGCCAGUAUCAAUAUUUAUACACCAAACCCAAAUACUAUAACCUUCAAAAUUAAAGUUUAACAUGAAAAUAUAUAUUAUCUAAUCAUGAUUAAUUAAUAAAUAUAUAUGUGAAAAGCACAUAUCUUACAUUUAUUUAUUUAGUGUAUGCAAAUAAUGAGUGUCAAUUAAUUCUUACCAUGUAGUGAGAUGGAUAAGUCGAUCCUUCAUCUUUAAUUAAAAAAUUUAAAUUCAAAUAUUGAGAUUGGAUAAAUCUCUAUUAGGGCCUGUUAUAAACCUUAUAUAUAUGAUAGGAAUUUACAUAGUCGAUUCAGUAAAUAUCAAAUUUAAUAUGAUCAUAACCAUUUUUUAAUAAAUACAACUUAAACUCAAAAAAUAAUGCACUAAAAUUAAACGAGUGGAUCGUGAGAGUGGGUUCCACUGAGCACAUAGAAUUGCCUCGUGAUACACACUGUGAUACACCCAUGCCUUUCCACAUGCCUCACUUAAAUUAGAAGCUUCCUUUUCAUGUCAACAAUUUAUAACUUACUCUUCGACUUUCUUGUUGCCUUUAUUAUAUUUAAUAAUUACUAAUGAAAUAUAUUUGCUUCGAGUACUAGAAAUUGUGUUUUGAUUUAAUAAUUAUAAUUAUUUGUCAUAAUGAAAUGAUAUAUCAAAUUUUAUGAUAAAAUUUUGUAGCUAUCAUUUUUAUCAUGAGUUGAAAUUUGUUGUAGUAAUAGUAGUGUUUUCGCCACAUUAAGUUAUUUUUAACAAAAUGUUUUAACUAUAAUAUGAUACAAAGUAUGUGAUUUGUCGUAACUUAAUUAAUGUGUAGAAAUUCAAUUCUUAGGACUUAGGGAAGGGCGUUUAAAUCUAAUAUAUGUAUAAAGUUUAUCCAAUAUAGUACACCACAAACUAAUCAUAAGAUUACUAUUACUAUUAGAUAUAUUAUAUAUAUGAUAAUUAACGUCAUUCAAAUGUACUAUUGCGAUUUGCGUGAUACUUUUUUUAAGUGUCUAACAAUUUAGAAUGAUUAAAAAUUGGAAAAUUAGGGUGGGCGGGGGUGAGAAUAGUAAAUAGUAGGAAAAAUUAUCAAUUACAUACAAUUAUCCACUGACCAGGUAAUUACAUGGUCAACUAAACAUAACAGACAAUGUAAUUACACCAAAUCUAAUUACCAGAGUGACUUUCCAAACAGGUCCAUACUAUUUUUAAAGAAUGUCACUGUGAAAACUGAAACUUUAGAGGCUUGUUUGUACACAAUUUCCUUUUUUUCCUAUUUGACUGAUUAAAAUUUUCAAAAAACAUUUUGUCAAGAAAAACAAAUUCCUUAUAAAAACAAAAAAAUAACUUUCCUAAUAAAACUAGAAAAAAUAAUUUUCAAGUGAUAUUACACACUCGUUUGGUAAUGUAUUAGUAAAAAUAAUGCAUUCGUUCACUCUCUAUUAGUCGUUCCUUGUUUGAUACACUUUUUCAUUUUGUCACUCUAUUAUGUAUUGAGGAGUGUAUUACGAGGAAAUUUUGCAAAUAACGACAAAAAGUAACUUAAUUAGGAGGUUCCAUAGCUAUAGUUUGCUAAUUACGAUUCGUCGCUACAUGAUAGAGGGAGGAACAAGGCAAGCGAGAUUGUAAUUGUAUAUCUGCCGAAUUGUAUAUGUAUAUAUGUUAGAUAAUUGUAUAUAUGAACUGGUAUACAUAUGUAUUUGUAUAUCUGACGAGCGAGAUUGGGAGAGGGAGGAGAGAUGCGAGUGAGAUUGGGAGAGGGGGGAGAGAUGCGAGUGAGAUUGGGAGAGGGGGGAGAGAUGCGAGUGAGAUUGGGAGAGGGGGGAGAGAUGCGAGUGAGAUUGGGAGAGGGGGGAGAGAUGCGAGUGAGAUUGGGAGAGGGGGGAGAGAUGCGAGUGAGAUUGGGAGAGGGGGGAGAGAUGCGAGUGAGAUUGGGAGAGGGGGGAGAGAUGCGAGUGAGAUUGGGAGAGGGGGGAGAGAUGCGAGUGAGAUUGGGAGAGGGGGGAGAGAUGCGAGUGAGAUUGGGAGAGGGGGGAGAGAUGCGAGUGAGAUUGGGAGAGGGGGGAGAGAUGCGAGUGAGAUUGGGAGAGGGGGGAGAGAUGCGAGUGAGAUUGGGAGAGGGGGGAGAGAUGCGAGUGAGAUUGGGAGAGGGGGGAGAGAUGCGAGUGAGAUUGGGAGAGGGGGGAGAGAGGGCAGAAGUGGAGAGAAACGAAUUGUAUUUGUAUAUGUAUAAUUUGUAUUUGUAUAUGUAUAAGAGAGGAGAGAGGCGAGAGAGAGGAAGAGAGGAAAAAGGUGCACAUAAUUUUAGCUAAAAAGAUGUUGCGAGUGGUAAUUAAUUCAAACUAUAGUUAUGUUAGCUAAUUAACUAGUAUAUGUUUGCUUAUUCGUGUAAUUUCUCUUAUUACUAAUACCAUGAAUUUCUAAUUAUUAGUAAUGCAAAGAGAUUUAAUACAUACAUUAUCAUAUGAUUAAAGAGUCAAUUACCCCUCAAAAACACUUUUACAUCUUUUCUACUAUAAUUGUAGAGGAUACUUUUAUAAAUAAAUAUUUAUAUACCAUGCAUGCUAUUUUUAAUACACCAAACCAAGCAAUGAAUAAAAAUAAUAUAUGCAUAACUAAUGCAAACAUACCUAAUACAAACAAUAUUAAUACACUCUAUUGAACAUUAUUUUUAUAUACUCUAUCAAACGACAAUAUUGACUCACUUACAUAGGCAAACAGAGGAUUUAAAGUUUACGAAUUCAAGAUUUUAAUUUUCUGAAGGCACUAAGUUCUAAAUUUAUAAUUUGUACAUAUUCAAUAAUUUAAAAAAAUAUAUAAAUAUAAAAUUUAAACCAAAACUAUUGAAUUCGAUCGAAAUCUCCACGGCUAAUAAGCUAGCUCCGCCCCUUCCUACUAACACACCUCACCUUCCAUCCCAUCCCAUGAACCACUGUCCCUAUCACCUCACCACCUGUCAGACUGUAACCCUCAUACAAAGUCACCAACUCAAUAAUAUCUGCCUAAAUUAGGAGUAUAUAAUAAUAUUUUAUUUAUUCUCAAAUACCAAAAAUAAAUUAAAAAUCCUCACUUAUUUCUUUUUCGUACCAAAGUACUCCCUCCGUCCCUUUUUAGUUGUCCACUUUAGAAAUGGCACACAGAUUAAGGCAACAAUGAUUAGCACAGUGAAGUUACAAUUUUAUCCUUAUGACAACUUUUCACUUUAAAAUUAUAACCACUUAUUUGAAUUCAAGUGAAAUAAAUUGGAGGGAAACAACAUACACUUUUACAAUUUUCAAGAAGUGUAAAUAAGGGUAUAAUAGGAAAAAAUUUGUUGUCCUUUCUUGAUUUGUCAAAAUGGACAACUAAAUAGGGACAACCAAAAAAGGAAAUAUGGACAAGUAAAUAGGGACGGAGGGAGUAUAUUAUUUGUCAAAUAGAAUGAAAAAAUAGAGGGUUGAUACACCGUACUUGUCUGUUUAUGUAAGUUUUUGCUUGUUUACCGCACCCACAAUCGGCCAAAAACAUACAGCUCUUUUAGCAGUAAUAAUAACUACUUUUGUUUCUCUACAAUUUCACCUAUAAUGUCAUGUCCUUAUCUUUCUCCUAUCACCAUUUUCCCCUUUUCUCCUACCUUUCAAAUUUCCAUUAUCAACAUUAAUAUCUUAUUUCUUUCUGCAAAAAUCACUGAUUUUGCCAGUUUUUGAAAGUGGGGUUUUCUCAAAUUGCAUUAUUACUAUUAUUUGUUGUAAGUGUGAAAGAUGAAAACAGGGGUAUCGAGAAGGUGGAUACUUGUAGACAGUAAAGGACAGAGUAGUAUAUUGGAUUUGGAUAAGUAUGCUAUUAUGAAAAGAGUUUCAAUACAUGCUAGAGAUCUUCGUAUUCUUGAUCCUCUGCUUUCUUAUCCUUCUGCAAUAUUUGGCAGAGAAAAGGCUAUUGUACUCAAUUUGGAGGUGCACUUAACCUUUAAACUUUCCAAGUUUGAUUUCUCACUUACCUUGAGAGAAUAACUAUUAGUUGAUUGAUCAUCUGAGAAAUUAACCAAUGAUUUGCUUUUUGGUAAGAAAUCUAAUUGUUGUGCUUUUGUUGUUUUGGCUGGUUUGUUCACUGCCUUCAGCAUAUCAAAGCAAUUAUUACUACAGAUGAGGUAAAUUUCUAUUGCUUUCGCUAUACCAAAAAUGAUAUUUAGCAGCAAUUAGUUAAUGACAAUAUUUUAAUUGUCGCUAAAUAUGUAUUUUUAGUGACAAUGUCCCUAAAGUCUAUAGCAACAUGAAUCUAAUGAUAUUUAACUAAUGACGGUAAAGACUCUAGCAUUCUAUUAAUGUGCAUAAUUAUUACUGCUAAAAGUUGCUUUUGUUCUAGUGUUUCUACAUUGCCUAACUACCAGUUUUUUGAGUCGGUGAUGGAUUCAAAUAUAAUUUUACAUUUUCUGUAUAAGUUAUGUUGUUGUAAGAGGUUACUUGCCUUAUUUUUCAGGUUACUAAUUUCACUUUCGGAGUGAUGUAACUGUAAAAUUUUCCUUUACAUAGUUAGGGGUCGUUUGGUAGUAUGUUUUAGAUAAAAUAAUACAUAUAUUAGUCAUGGUAUUAUUUAAUCCUUUGUUUGAUAGGAUUUAUUCGGUACUAUUAACACAUGAAUACACAUCCUUAGUACACCAAACCAAUCCGUGGAUAGAAAUAAUCCAACAUUACUAAUGCACUCUAUUCAGUAUUAUUCUUACCAAGCGACCCCUUAGGCUUAGAGUAUUGAAGAUAAGUUCAUUGUGAAUAUAUGAUUAUCGAUUGUCGCUUUAUAGCUUUCUUGAUGUUAGUUUAAUAAUAAAUGUAUAUCCCAUUGUGUGUGUUUUAUUUGAUUGAGGUAGGUAUUGAUUCGUGACCCAAUGGAUGAUAAUGUUCUUCCUGUUGUUGAAGAACUUCAAAGAAGAUUGCCAUUGCCAGCUAUUAGCUUAGGAGAAGGUGAAGAUGAUGAUCAACCUGUUGUUAAUGGGACACAAAAUGAAAUGCAAACUGUUGAACCAACUGGUAUGCACCUACUGCUUCUUAUUUCUUCGAUGUUGAGUCGUUGGUUACUACUAUGUGUUCUUUCUAUUCAAGCAACACGAUUGCUAAUCAUCGUUCCUAUUAUUUGUGAUGCAGAGUUUCCUUUUGAAUUUCGAGCUUUAGAAGUAGCACUAGAAGGAGUAUGCAGUUAUCUUGACACUCAGACACGAGAACUAGAGACUGCUGCUUACCCUGCUUUAGAUGAGCUCACCUCCAAGGUAAGAUAGUAAACCAAUAUGUUAUAAGGUCACUUUCAUGCUUAGUGCAACUAACUACCUAAACUAUUCAUUAAUAAUCUGUAAAAGAGUGUGGUAAUUGUUUGAAGCUGAUCAAAUUUCCUAAAAUAGUAGAUAAAUUUUGUUUGAUUUGAGAUUAUCUUGAUUAUUUUACAUUGAGUUGUUCUAAUUAUCGUUAAUCAGCUGUGUUUGAAAGUCAUAUCUACUUGCCACCAUCGAAUGUCCAACAAGUGUAUGUUGUUCGAUAGGUUGACAUGUUAUAUAUGAUGAUUUGGUCAUUGUUUACUUCCAAAUGAUUAAAGUAGAACUAAGUUCCACAGUGGAAGAUCUACGGUGAAAAUGCUACGUUUAGCAUUCUCCGACGUGUCUAUGGCUUGAAAGUCAGAAAGUAAGAAAAGGGAAAAAGAAAGUUGGUUUCUUGCAAUGUUAUGUUAAGCACGGACUUAAAAAACAAUGUUCCUAGAAAUAUUAUCAUCCGUAGAAGAGGGAAUUACAGAGUCUUUAUAGGUAAGGGAAACGAUCACUUCUAACUGAUGGAUGGAUUAAUGAAGUUUUAUAGCCAAAACUUGCAAUCAGAUAUAUUUACCUCAGGACAGAAUCAGGUCGAAUGUGUUGUAAGAAUUAUCCUAGAGUAUAGACUUAUGGUGCCAUUUGAUUAUAUCACCAGUCCACCUCGUCAUCUACGUCAACCAAGAUUAGUUUUAUUUGAACAGGAGGCAACUUAUUACGACCUUGCCCGAUUGUUUUGCAUAAAUUGAAUUGACAAAAUGUCCUUCCUCAACUGUUUGUUCAUCCCAAGCACAACUAAGGAAACCAUUGUUUAGUUGCUUUACUGGAUAGCAUUUUGGUUAUGAUAUGUCUGUGCUGCGCACAGCGCAUAUAUUAUUCUGUCUUGAUCAGUUUGUUUCCCAAGUACCUUUUCUUCUAAUUUGUGAAUUUUCUUUUACUAAUCUGCAGAUUAGUAGUCGCAACCUGGAUAGAGUGCGCAAAUUGAAGAGUGCAAUGACUAGGUUGACUAGUCGGGUUCAAAAAGUAUGUCUCUCUUUUUCUUCUACAUGUUAUGUCCUGAAAAGUACAAGAUGUUCUGGUCUAUGCGUCCGUUCAUGGACUAGAAAUUUGGUGUCUAAAAGGAACAAGAUUGAGUUCAUCUAGAGCUGAAUGUUUAGUUAAUGUAAUUGAAUCUAAAUUAUGCCAAUUUCUAGGUAAGGGAUGAUCUUGAACAACUUCUCGAAGAUGAUGGUGACAUGGCUGACCUUUACCUCUCAAGAAAAUUAGUUGCCGGAGUUUCAUCCCCCCUGAGUGGUCAGGUGGCACCUUACUGGUCCCCUGAUACGUCCUCAAUACGCUCAAAGUUAUUAUCCAAAGCAAGCAGGAUCAGCGGGAUAACUCAUGAGGAGACUGAUGUUGAGGAACUUGAAAUGUUGCUUGAGGUUAGUAUUAUCAUGAACUUACACACACUAGCAUAUAUAAUUAAUCCCGCGAUACAUGUGUUGUGUAAUAACUACAUGCUUUUGCAGGCUUACUUUGUGCAAAUUGAAAGCACGAUGAACAAAUUGACAACGGUAAGAAAAUGAAAAAAACAGGAACCUGAUGCCCUUUACAUACACAAAAUGAAAUAAUGAACUGAUCAUUCAGAACUCUAAUUAAAUAGUGAUUCUGGUGUUCCUUUAUCCAGUUGCGCGAAUAUAUUGAUGACACAGAGGACUAUAUCAAUAUUCAGGUUACUACUCCGCGCUGAUUUAACUUGUGGUUUAAUGCUAAAAGCUUCUAGCUUUAGGAACUAUACACAAAACUAACAGUAAUUCCUUGUUGUGUGCAGCUGGACAAUCAUCGAAAUCAGCUGAUCCAGGUAUGUUGAGACGUGUAUCGUCAGGUUAAUAUCAGACUAUUACUGAAUCUAUUCUGCUAUAUUCACAUAAUGCUACUCAUAUGAUCUGUUGAAAUGGCGAAUAAAUAGCAAUUUGUUUUGAUUGAUACCGCAGUUGGAGCUGUUCCUGAGUUCUGGUACAGUUUGUUUGACAGUGUACUCCUUGGUGGCUGCAAUAUUGGGAAUGAAUAUUCCAGUUCCAUGGAAUAAAGACCAUGGCUACCUUUUUAAAUGGGUGCGCAUACUCGAUUCUUUUUAUGGGAGUAGUAUAUUAUAUCAAGAAUUUAAUUCAAAAGUAUAUAGAAGUUAAACUCUAGAAGGAAAGCCUCAGAGCAACAAUAAAGUUGUCUCUAUUGUGGCUAUAGAAUCAAGUCACUGAUGCUUGCGUUAGGAUAGACCGCCUAAAUAUCACACUCUCUUGGGAUGCAAUCCUUCCCUGGAUCCUGUGUGAAUGCAGAAUUCGAGCAACAAUAAAGUUGUCUCUAUUGUGGCUAUUGAAUCAGUCACUGAUGCUUGCGUCAGGAUAGACUGCCUACAUAUCACUCUCUCUCGGGAUGCAAUCCUUCCUGGAUCCUAUGUGAAUGCAGGAUACUUUGUACAUUCAGAAUAUGUAUUUUUUUGGUAACACUUGUAUUUAUAUUGCAGGUGGUCAUUCUUGCUGGAAUUGCUUCUGCAUCCGUUUUCCUAUCAAUAAUUACAUAUGCUAGGCACAAGGGUCUCGUUGGAUCUUAAAUCUUAAUAAUUACUCCUCCAAUCUCUAUAUUAUAAUAUAAAAUACACCCUACAUGUCAACAUGUUGAAAUUUAAUUUCUAGAUUGCAACUUCAAGGAAGAGGCGGAACCACGAUUGGAGAUAAGAUAUGCAAAAAUGUUACGAGACGAACUUAUGACCUUAGACAUGCUUGUUGUGUAUUGAUGAAUUCAACAAUCAAUAUAUAUAUAUAUAUAUAUAUAUAUAUAUAUAUAUGAUAUAUAAAAAUAAAAUCUCAGACAAAUGUAAUUUGCUGACAAGCGGAUUUAAUUGACCACCCUUUGAGCUAAUGUGACUCUGCCACUGGUUGCAAAUCAGAAGUUUCAACAACAAUGGAAAAAGAAAGAAUUUAAGGAUGGUCUACAAGCUACAACAAUUUUUUUUUGUUUGUAAAAUUCAGAAUUUGCUCCACCUAUAUCCUUGAUUCUCAAAGGGGCCAUAUACACAUAAAUAACCUAUAUAUAUAUAUAUAUAUAUUAAAGAGAAUAGUAUACACAAAAGAAGCUAUUUAUAACUCAAAAUUCAAAUUUGAACUAUUUGUGAUUUGUUUAUCAAACUAUAAAGAAUAUAACAAGUGACAAAUAAGAGUGAAGUACUUGUUAGAUG
rnacentral:lncRNA from 1 species